UACGGAGGGUGCAAACGUUGCUCGGAAUCAUUGGGCGUAAAGCGCACGUAGGCGGUCUCGUAAGUUGGAUGUGAAAGCCCUUGGCUUAACCAAGGAAGUGCAUUCAAAACUGCUUGACUUGAGUACCGGAGAGGGUCGCGGAAUUCGUCGGUGUAGAGGUGAAAUUCGUAGAUAUCGGGAGGAACACCAGUGGCGAAGGCGGCGACCUGGACGGAUACUGACGCUGAGGUGCGAAAGCGUGGGGAGCAAACAGG
rnacentral:rRNA from 1 species